AUAAAAGAAGUAAGAAAGAGCGUAUGGGGGAUGCCUAGGCUCUCAGAGGCGAUGAAGGACGUGAUAAGCUGCGAAAAGCUGUGGGGAGUCGCAAAUAGACGCUAUAUCCACAGAUGUCCGAAUGGGGCAACCCACUAAGUCGAAGACUUAGUACCUCGCAAGAGGAGCAAACCCGGAGAACUGAAACAUCUAAGUACCCGGAGGAAGAGAAAACAACAGUGAUUGCGCAAGUAGUGGCGAGCGAACGCGCAAGAGCCCAAACCUGUUUAGUUACGGCUAAGCAGGGGUUAUAGGACUACAUAAUCAAAACCGAAACAGAUUUGAACUGGGUGGGAAACCAGGCCAUAGAGGGUGAUAGCCCCGUAAAAGAGAGUAGAGGAGAGAGGUAGUAUCCUGAGUAGGGCGGGGUCGGAGACGCCCCGUUUGAAUUUGCCGGCACCAUCCGGUAAGGCUAAACACUCCUGAGAGACCGAUAGUGAACCAGUACUGUGAAGGAAAGGUGAAAAGCACUUCGAAUAGAAGGGUGAAAGAAGAACCUGAAACCAUACGCUUACAAGCGGUUGGAGCUCCGCAAUGGAGUGACAGCGUGCCUUUUGCAUAAUGAGCCUACGAGUUACUGUCACUGGCAAGGUUAAGCGACUUAAGUUGCGCAGCCGGAGCGAAAGCGAGUCUGAAUAGGGCGCAUAGUCAGUGGGAGUAGACGCGAAACUUUGUGAUCUACCCUUGGUCAGGAUGAAGUUCCGGUAACACGGGAUGGAGGUCCG
rnacentral:rRNA from 1 species